ensembl:lncRNA
CCUGUCUCCCUACCAUCUCUCCCCUGUCUCCCUUCCAUCUCUCCCCUGUCUCCCUUCCAUCUCUACCCUGUCUCAUUACCAUCUCUCCCCUGUCUUCCUUCCAUCUCUACCCUGUCUCAUUACCAUCUCUCCCCUGACCAAGAAGGGCCUUCGUCAGGGAGGUGACCAAGAACCCGAUGGUCACUCUGACAGAGCUCCAGAGUUCCUCUGUGGAGAUGGGAGCACUUUCCAGAAGGACCUUUAUGAUACUUGGCGCUGUACAAACGACUGAUCCUCAAGAUCAUGAGGCUCGGACCAGGUGGCGCUGUGAUGCUGCUGGUGUAUCAAUACGUAUCUGGAUGGUUAAAUAAGAACUGGUGACGAGGAGAAGCCCACCAACCUGCCUUAAGGUGCCCACCAGUCUGCCUGAUGAAGCCCACCAGUCUGCCUUAAGGUGCUCACCAGUCUGCCUGAUGAAGCCCACCAACCUGCCUUAAGGUGCCCACCAGUCUGCCUGGUGAAGCCCACCAGUCUGCCUUACGGUGCCCACCAGUCUGCCUUAAGGUGCCCACCAGUCUGCCUUAAGGUGCCCACCAGUCUGCCUGAUGAAGCCCAUCAACCUGCCUGAAGGUGCCCACCAGUCUGCCUGAUGAAGCCCACCAGUCUGCCUGAUGAAGCCCACCAACCUGCCUUAAGGUGCCCACCAGUCUGCCUUAUGAAGCCCACCAACCUGCCUUAAGGUGCCCACCAGUCUGCCUGAUGAAGUCCACCAACCUGCCUUAAGGUGCCCACCAGUCUGCCUGAUGAAGUCCACCAACCUGCCUUAAGGUGCCCACCAGUCUGCCUGAUGAAGCCCACCAGUCUGCCUGAUGAAGCCCACCAACCUGCCUUAAGGUGCCCACCAGUCUGCCUGAUGAAGCCCACCAGUCUGCCUGACGAAGCCCACCAGGCUGUCUGAUGAAGCCCACCAGCCUGUCUGAUGAAGCCCACCAACCUGCCUUAAGGUGCCCACCAGUCUGCCUUAAGGUGCCCACCAGUCUGCCUGAUGAAGCCCACCAACCUGCCUUAAGGUGCCCACCAGUCUGCCUGAUGAAGUCCACCAACCUGCCUUAAGGUGCCCACCAGUCUGCCUGAUGAAGUCCACCAACCUGCCUUAAGGUGCCCACCAGUCUGCCUGAUGAAGCCCACCAACCUGCCUUAAGGUGCCCACCAGUCUGCCUGAUGAAGCCCACCAGUCUGCCUGAUGAAGCCCACCAACCUGCCUUAAGGUGCCCACCAGUCUGCCUGAUGAAGCCCACCAACCUGCCUUAAGGUGCCCACCAGUCUGCCUGAUGAAGCCCACCAACCUGCCUUAAGGUGCCCACCAGUCUGCCUGAUGAAGUCCACCAACCUGCCUUAAGGUGCCCACCAGUCUGCCUGAUGAAGCCCACCAGCCUGCCUGAUGAAGCCCACCAGCCUAUCUGAUGAAGCCCACCAGCCUAUCUGAUGAAGCCCACCAGCCUGUCUGAUGAAGCCCACCAGGCUGUCUGAUGAAGCCCACCAGCCUGUCUGAUGAAGCCCACCAGGCAGGCCAUUAGGAUGCCCACCAGGCAGGCCAUUAGGAUGCCCACCAGUCAGGCCAUUAGGAUGCUUACCAGGCAG